AUACUUACCUGGACGGGGUCGAUGGGUGAUCACUAAGGCCCAUGGCCUAGACUAGUGGCCCACAUUGCACUUGGUGGGUGCGCUGGUCUACCAUCUCCUCAAGCAGGAGAGUGGACGUCAUAAUUUGUGGUCGAGAGGGUACGCGUUCGCGCGGCCCCUGC
rnacentral:snRNA from 2 species